rnacentral:rRNA from 1 species
UACAGAGGGUGCAAGCGUUGUUCGGAAUUACUGGGCGUAAAGGGCGCGUAGGCGGCUUGGUAAGUCAGGCGUGAAAUCCCGGGGCUUAACUCCGGAAGUGCGCUUGAAACUACCUCGCUAGAGUGCAGUAGAGGUUGGUGGAAUUCCCAGUGUAGAGGUGAAAUUCGUAGAUAUUGGGAGGAACACCGGUGGCGAAGGCGGCCAACUGGGCUGCAACUGACGCUGAGGCGCGAAAGCGUGGGGAGCAAACAGG